rnacentral:rRNA from 1 species
CCCUUAGAUGUUCUGGACCGCACGCGCGCUACACUGACGAAUGCAACGAGCUUAUAACCUUGGCCGAAAGGUCUGGGUAAUCUCCAAAUUUCGUCGUGAUGGGGAUAGAUUAUUGCAAUUAUUAAUCUUCAACGAGGAAUGCCUAGUAAGCGCAAGUCAUCAGCUUGCGUUGAUUACGUCCCUGCCCUUUGUACACACCGCCCGUCGCUCCUACCGAUUGAAUGGUCCGGUGAAGCGCUCGGACCGCGGCCUCUUGACGGUUCGCUGUCGAUUGGCUGUGGGAAGUUCGUUAAACCUUAUCAUUUAGAGGAAGGAGAANUCGUANCA